rnacentral:lncRNA from 1 species
AUGACAUCUGCAAAGACCCCUGGUCUUUUACAUCACAGGCUCUGGGGCUUCGGGACAACGACCUGUCUUUUGAGGGCCACCAUUCAACCAGCUACAAUCACCUUGAAAAAACAGUUUAUGGGAGUUCCCGUCGUGGCGCAGUGGUUAACGAAUCCGACUAGGAACCAUGAGCCUCAAGUAUCUGAGACCAAGGUCAUUCACGAUGCCUGGGCACACGGUUUCUCUCUCCCUGUGAUGUCGUUCUCGAGACCGCUCCUAUGACUGCUGCUGCGGAGACACGGAGCCAAUCCAGAGCGGACUGCCAGUGACGACACCAGUCGCCAAGGCCUCCAAGGGCCCAGAACAUAGUGGCGCCCUCUGGCGGGGAAAGGGAGGCAGUAUGUGAGAGACAGCCAAUCUGGUCAGCUGACUUCGGCCAAGUUCCAGUGCCUGGUGCAACACCCCCUGGCAACUCAAGUCACUUUCCAUCUCCAGAAACCCGACCAGAAGAGAGACAUGCUGAGAGGAAGCAAAGAUCAAGAAUCCUGGCAUCCAAUCAGAUACAGGAAUUAACGCAACAGCCGUCCAAUCAGAUGAGCGGAUCCAACCAAAUAGAGCAGGUAUCCAAGUAGAUGGGGCAGAGUUGCCAUGACGACUCGAGUCUCUACAGGGUUUGCAGGGUCCCCGCGCUCAGACGCUUUUGAGCGCCCCCUGGCGCUUGGCCCCUUACUCCAGCAAGCGCGUGCUGGCUGAAGGCAGCCAAUAAGGCCGGGUACAGCCUCCGUGACGUCACUAGUUGCGGAGCGGGCCCCCGGAGUGCGUGAGCUCGAAGGCGAGUUCGCGUGAGCUCUUGCGAGCCCGCGGGCGGGUCGCGCGCGCUUUCUCCAGUGCGGUGGUUGGUGCGCAUGCGCUCGUGUUUCUCUUUCUUUUUUUUUUCAGCGUGAGGCGCGAUAAAAGGCGGGAAAGAGCCUGAGGCGAAGCGUGAGGUGAGACGACCAGGUGGACCAGGGGGACGACCGGGUUGACUGACGGACCCAUGGACGGAGGGGGACCCCCUCUGAGCCGGAAACGCUCUGGCAGAGGAUGUGGCCUCUUAAAAAAUCUUCCUGAGGGACAGAGCCCCAGAGAUGGCCCGACAGAGAAAGGCUAGAGGAAAGUGACGCCCCCUACACACACACACACACACACACACACACGCGACGGUGCAGCCAGUUAGAAAGUCGCAGGGGUGGAGACGCUGGAAGCGACGAAGGAAGACAUUGAGGUGCCCCGGGGAAGGACCCCGAGGCGAGAGAGACAGUGACCGUGAUGCGGAACGAUGGGGA